GGCCCCUUCGUCUAGUGGUUAGGACAUCGGUCUUUCACGCCGACGGCACGGGUUCGAGUCCCGUAGGGGUCA
rnacentral:tRNA from 1 species